CACGUACGCAGUUUCAACUCCCAAUCUUGAAAAUCUAAAAAUCUGGAAAAGCGAGAAGAAAUUCAUUAUCGGAAAGAAAGCCUGACGAACGUAUCUUUCUGCCUCUCUUCCAAUACAAUAACACGUCUCGUC
ensembl:ncRNA Y38A10A.9 ncRNA